UUCUUUCUAUCUUGCUUGCCUUCUUUCCUUCUUUCUCUCUUUCUUUCCUUUCUUCCUUCUCUCCUUCUAUCUUUCCUUCUUUCUGUCUUUCUUUUUCUCUCUUUUUUCUUUCCAUCUUUUUUCUUCCUUCUUCCUUCCUUCUUUCUUUCUUUUUUAUCGCUUUCUUUCUUUCUUUCCUUCCUUCCUUUUUCUUUCUUUCUUUCCUUCUUUCUUUCUUUCUUUCUUCCUUUCUUUGUUUCAUUCCUUCCUUCUUUCUUUCUUUCCUUUUCUUUCAUCCUUUCUUACUUUCCUUCUUGCUAUCCUUCUUUCUCUCUUUCCUUCUUUCCUUCCUUUCUUCCUUCUUUCUGUCUCUCUCUUUCCAUCGCUCUUAUUUCUGAACCCCUUUACCCAUUUUCCCGCAGUCUUCAACUUCUCUUCUGGGGUGUUCUACCACAAAAAAACCCUAUUUUGUGGCUGCUGGCUGUUACACUCUUCCUCAAGUCUCUCCCUAUUCAAGUCCAUCCUCCACUCAGCAAUCAAAUCGAUCUUCCUAAAAUGCAGGUCCACCCCCUCCAUUCUAUCAAUUUUAACAUUUUCCUAUUGCCUCCAGGAUAAAGUAAAAUAUUUUUUGUUGGUCUUUUAAAGCCCUUUAGAACCUGAUUCUUUGUACCUUUCCAUACUUCUGCUUUUUUUGGGAGAAACACUUACCUUCUGUCAUAGAAUUAAUACUAAGUAUUGGAUCUAAGGCAGAAAAAGCAGUAAGGGCUAAGCAAGCGGGGCUAUGUGAUUUGCUGGGUCACACAGCUUGUUGUCUCUUUUCAUUAGUCUGCGAGCAGAAAUUGCUCUCUCUUUCAGCAUCCCCAGAGAUUAGAACAGUGCCUGGCACAUCGUAGGUCCUUGCUAAAUAUUUGUUGACUUUACUUAAUUACACUGAAUGGUUUCUUGUAUAUCCACCAAAGUGCUAAGUAUGGUGCCAGUCACAUAUUAUUAAAUCUCACCUCUCUCUCUCCCCUAAACUUCAGCUCCACAUCUCACCUGCUUACUGGCCAUUUCAAAGUGGAGAUCCUAGGGAUUAUCUUAACCAAUAACAUGCCCCAAACCAAAUUCAUUCACUCAUGUCUCUCUUCCUCCAAACCUUUCUGUUGAAGAAACCACUAUCCUUCAAGACUGCCAUACUUGUAACCCCAGCAUUUCUCUUGAACUCCUCACUCCACAUAUCCAACCAGAUGCCAAGUUUUCUCUUUUCCACCAUCAUAUUUCUCACAUCUGGCUCCAUUUUCCCCAUCACAUAGCUAAUAACAGUUCAGGUCCUCAUCACUAUUACCUAGUUUAGACAACAGGUUCCUAACUAUUCUCCUGGCUUCAACUCUCUCAUUACUUGAGUCCAUUUGACACAAUGCUCUUAAGAGUAUAUGUUUCUUAAAUACUUCUAAUCAGGAGGCUUUCCUAUUACAAUAGACUUUUAUUGUCACUAGGAUAAAAUAUAAACUUCUAUGUUUAGCUUGGAAAGUCCUCCAUGACCUGGUUCUAACCUAUCUUUUGAGCCCAAUUGGAUGGUACUCGCCCACAUUUUGUGGUUCAAGAUCCAACUAAAUUGGAUUUCUUUGUAUUCUUCAUACAUGACAUUCCUUCUCCUAUCCUUGCAUCUUUGCAGUGGCUGCCUCACAUUCCUGGAAUUCCAUCCAUUCUUACUACCAUCUUAUAGAGUCCCUCUCUUCCUUUAACAUACAUCCCAAGCACCAUCUUCUUUAGGAAACCUUUCCUAUGCCCCACAAGGCUAACAUCCUCAUAUUCUUGUUGAAAUAAGCUUUGGAUAUAUUUAAUAUAUAUAUAUAUAUAUUUUUUUUUUCUUCCAGGGUACAUUUUAUAUGUACUUUUUGUUUUUCUGGUUAAAAUAGGAAUUCUUUCCAAGUAGAAAUUAUUUCAUUCUUUGGAAUUGUGUCCCCAGCAUAGUGCCUACCACCUAGUAAACACUUAAUAAGUACUUGUUGAUUGAAUGAUUGAUUUAAAAAUAUAACAAUAGAAAAUGCAUCUCAUAAAAUUGUUAUAGCCUUUGUGGGGGCCAUAUCUAAUUUCUAGAUAAAAGAUUAGUGAAGAAAUCGGUUGUAUUUUUUCUCAAAGCAAUUGCAGUCAAUAAAGUGUCCCUAUAAAGAAUAAAGUUGUUCUGU
rnacentral:lncRNA from 1 species